rnacentral:rRNA from 1 species
UACGGGGGGGGCAAGCGUUGUCCGGAAUUACUGGGCGUAAAGCGCGUGUAGGCGGCUCGGUAAGUCUGCUGUGAAAGUCCAGGGCUCAACCCUGGGAUGCCGGUGGAUACUGUCGAGCUGGAGUACGGUAGGGGCAGAGGGAAUUUCCGGUGGAGCGGUGAAAUGCGUAGAGAUCGGAAAGAACACCAACGGCGAAAGCACUCUGCUGGGCCGACACUGACACUGAGAGACGAAAGCUAGGGGAGCGAAUGGG